rnacentral:ncRNA from 2 species
AAAGCUCUAACGGGGUGCGGAACGCUGAUCCUUGCGUCAACCGCUGAGAGGUGAAGACCAACCCGAGGAACCUGAUCCGGCUAAAACCGGCGGAGGGAUUAGACGCGUGAACCAG